rnacentral:ncRNA from 1 species
ACAAACUAUUGAAAAAUAGUGACGCAAAGCUACAGAGCUGAACCAUAGAGAAGCUGGCUGAGUUGCAAUG